UACAGAGGGUGCGAGCGUUAAUCGGAAUUACUGGGCGUAAAGGGCGCGUAGGCGGUUAGUUAAGUUAGAUGUGAAAUCCCUGGGCUUAACCUAGGAACUGCAUCUGAUACUGGCUAGCUAGAGUGCAGUAGAGGGUAGUGGAAUUUCCGGUGUAGCGGUGAAAUGCGUAGAUAUCGGAAGGAACACCGAUGGCGAAGGCAGCCCCCUGGGCUGACACUGACGCUCAGGCACGAAAGCGUGGGGAGCAAACAGG
rnacentral:rRNA from 1 species